AAAGUUGGAAUUAACAAAUGCAACAACUAUUGUUGUCAAUCCAACAUUCCCAGAGAUACAACAUCAUGUCGACAGGCUGAAAGCAUCACUAGCAGGAAAGACAAUACAGCCCGCAGAGAACACAGUGACAGUCCAAGAGCUUAAAAACAUAUCAGCAAACAAAACUGUCAACGUACCACAGUCCCGCUUCACCUGUCAUGCACAGAUAAAAGAGAUAUAUGCAUCCCGUA